CUAUAUAAACCCUGUAGAUCCGAAUUUGUGUAAAAAUAACAGCAGCCACAAGUUCGCAUCUUUGGGAGUAUGUAGG